rnacentral:rRNA from 1 species
UGGGGAAUAUUGCACAAUGGGCGAAAGCCUGAUGCAGCGACGCCGCGUGAGGGAUGACGGCCUUCGGGUUGUAAACCUCUUUCAGCAGGGAAGAAGCGAAAGUGACGGUACCUGCAGAAGAAGCGCCGGCUAACUACGUGCCAGCAGCCGCGGUAAUACGUAGGGCGCGAGCGUUGUCCGGAAUUAUUGGGCGUAAAGAGCUCGUAGGCGGCUUGUCACGUCGGUUGUGAAAGCCCGGGGCUUAACCCCGGGUCUGCAGUCGAUACGGGCAGGCUAGAGUUCGGUAGGGGAGAUCGGAAUUCCUGGUGUAGCGGUGAAAUGCGCAGAUAUCAGGAGGAACACCGGUGGCGAAGGCGGAUCUCUGGGCCGAUACUGACGCUGAGGAGCGAAAGCGUGGGGAGCGAACAGGAUUAGAUACCCUGGUAGUCCACGCCGUAAACGGUGGGCACUAGGUGUGGGCGACAUUCCACGUCGUCCGUGCCGCAGCUAACGCAUUAAGUGCCCCGCCUGGGGAGUACGGCCGCAAGGCUA